UACCACAGUAGCAUCAGUCUUAUACAAGGGAUAACUGGGAUGCAGAGCCAUGUAGUGUUUCACUCAUACACUUUCCUGUCCUGGCAAAACACAUUUUUGCAGCCCAGCUCAGGUCUAGACUACCGAAAAAUCACAAUCCUGAAAAUCUAUGUAAUAUUCCUAAUCUGAGGGGUCAGGGUAGAAGGAAGAAUUGAACCUCUACCUCUGUAUGGUCAUUGGCACAAAAUACAGCUGAGUAUCGCCUGGCUGAGGAAGAUGUGCUCUUGAAAACAGUGUUCUUGAGGGCUGAUUUACUCAGGACCUGCCUGUUGUGCUUUGCCUUAAGGAGAAAAGCUGGUCUUUUAUAAGUACCUAGAACACCAGCAUUUUACUGAAUUGUACAGGGAGGGACACCGGGAGGAACCCUCCAGCCUGAACGGAUGUUGAUUAAGGAGACGACCCGGGGUGUUGGACCAAAAAGGUGGAAUCUGCUAAUCUCCCGUGAGGAAGGAAGCCCCAGCUCUGCCUGCAGACCAGUGGACAAAGCUGCAUCACCCUCCUUCUCCGUGCCACUCCUG